CGUACGCCGGUCGAUGACCACACACCGAGUACUCUCUCAUCAAGCCGCAGAACUACCCGAGGAGCCGCUUCACUAUAAAGGCCCAAGGCAGCGGCGGGUCGAUCACCACGAAGCAUCUCGAAUCCAAACGACGAAGGGGUUGCCUGCCUCGCACUCGGUCCCCUCGCCCUCCUCCCCCUCUCCGCCUCGAAGAAUUAGGGCUCCAAGAAUGAGCGCCAUCGUCUCGCGUCUGAUCCAUUCGCCCUCUUCCGUCUCUCGCGCGCUUUCCUCAGGUUUGUUGAACUAUGGAAGAUUGUUGUCAACCGAGUCAAAUCGUGUAGAUGAGCCUCUUAAAGUGGAGGAAACAGAAACGGUAAAAGCACCUCCUCCUCCAUCAGAGAAGCUCCUUGUAUUGGGUGGUAAUGGAUUUGUUGGCUCACAUGUUUGCAAAGAGGCUUUGGAUCAAGGCUUGUCUGUUUCUAGUCUUAGCAGAUCUGGAAGGUCAUCAAUACGUGAAUCUUGGGCUGAUAAAGUUGAAUGGCUACAAGGAAGUCUUCUCGUUCCUGAAUCUUGGAAGGAUGUUAUGAAUGAUGUGACUGCUGUGAUAUCUUGUGUUGGAGGCUUUGGAUCAAAUUCUUAUAUGUACAAGAUCAAUGGGACUUCAAACAUCAAUGCCAUCAGAGCUGCUGCUGAAAAAGGUGUAAAAAGAUUUGUUUAUAUUUCGGCUGCUGAUUUUGGUCUGGUAAAUUAUCUUCUGCAAGGGUAUUACGAGGGAAAGAGAGCUGCUGAAGCAGAACUUUUGACAAAGUUUACAUAUGGAGGGGUAAUUCUCCGGCCAGGUUUUAUAUAUGGGACUCGCCAAGUUGGGAGUAUGAAGAUACCUCUAGGACUCAUCGGCUCACCGUUGGAGAUGGUGCUCCAGCAUGCCAAACCACUCAAUCGCCUCCCACUUGUUGGUCCUCUCUUAACACCUCCAGUGAAUGUUACCGCAGUUGCGAAGGUAGCAGUAAGAGCUGCAAAUGAUCCAGUAUUUCCUCCAGGCAUAGUGGACGUACAUGGCAUUCUGCGUUACAGUGAGCGAAAGUAACCUGUUUCCUCCUCUUAUUCUGUGGGUUCCAAUUUACUUUGGUCUUCUUCCACAUAAAGAUACUUGUUCUGUCGGAAUAAGUUCUUUACACUGGCUGAGCAUUUGCUUGUGCAGUUUUAGUUAUAGAAGGCAUCACUUCCUGUAGAGCAUGCUUGGGACACUCAGCUUGGGAAGCUGUUCUUUGAUCUCAGCAAACAAAGAUGGAGCUAAAGCUAGUGAAAAGAAAGUUAACUGCAGAGUGUCAUCAGGCACUGAGACUGCAAGGAAGAGGGCAUUUGAAUGGACGCAUAAAGAGCCGGUUCACAUGAGAAGGCAGAAACGGAGAAGAUGAUAUAAGUGGAUACAAGACCAAACAAAACAAAGCAUCCAUCAAAUAUUCUCAAUGCUUUCCCCAUUUUUUUGAUCUCCUUGAGGGCCAGGAUGAGAGCCAAAGAUUUUACGUCUUACUAACACAAUUUCAUGUUUCCUUUUGAGACCUUACAGCAAGCUUACAGAACACCCUGCAUUAACAUAUCAUUGUUAGAGAUGCUAAAAGCUUCACCGAGUCCAAUAGCUAGGCAGAUAUCAAACACUUACCAUUGCCUUGUACUGGAGAUGACAAGGUAUAUCUAUCUUCUCAAAAUGGAGUAGAUUCCUCCUCCUCAUCUGAGCAUUCUAAAUUAUCAGUCUUUAACUUACUUGUUAUGCUAUCAGAAUCUACUCCCUUCCGUAUAUCACCUGAUACAUUCCAAUAAAGAGAGAGCUGAUAAAUAGAUAGAUCAGAAUGAGAACACCGAUAAGGAGUAUUAAGUAUGAACUCACUCUUUGAUGCAUUAUCAAUGGCUUGAUCUUCUUCGACUGUUGUUUUUGUUUCUUCUGAGAAUCUACCUGCAAUCUCAUUAUACUCCUUAAGACAACCACUCCAAUCAAAAUACUUGACAGUGAAAACCAUGUUGCCUUCAUGGCAGAACACCAGGAAGUAACCCACACACAAGUCAUGGGCUUCAGUAAAUUCCUUCCAGCCAUUACCGAAGAACAUAUCAUGCCCAUCUCUCUCAAUACUAACAUGCCAAAACUUGCCAAGAGGGCUUAGAAUGGUGGCCGUUCGAUGGUUCUCACACGCAAGACGCUCGGUGAAGUGACGAGGAAUCAGCUGCAAUGUAAGAGUGAAAAGUUAUGUUGCUACAGAGUUCUUUUUGUGUUGAAGAACACAUUGUGCCAUAAUUUGGACCAGCACAAUUAUCAGCAUAUAUACCGGUAUCAGAACUGAAGAAAGCUAAAUAUGGAACUGAAGAAAGUAACUCAAUGUGCAGGAUUAAUCUAACAUAUAAAUUGCUUAUAUGUUAUAAUUGCCAAUGCCAGGAAGGGUGACCGAUGACAAAUAAAAGUGCACCAGAAGAUAAAUGGAAGCAGAACAAAAAGAAUAACGUCAUAGAAGACGAAGAAGAAGAAGUCAUAAUACCCUAACAACAGCAGUAUCAUAGUAGGCUUUCUCCAAUAGAACAAGUAAAUUUCAGGAGCAGUGACAGGUGUUUCAAUGUUUAAUAGCAGAUGAUUGAUGUUUUUUCUUUUCUUUUUUUUUUUGCCCAUCCUCUGUGCUAGAAGCUUAAUAUUUUUUUUUUUUUUUGGGUAGAUGAUUUAUGUAUUUUUCCUUUUAUAGAAAGAAUAGGUAUCCUUUUGGUA